GAUGAACGCUGGCGGCGUGCCUAAUACAUGCAAGUCGAGCGAAUGGAUUAAGAGCUUGCUCUUAUGAAGUUAGCGGCGGACGGGUGAGUAACACGUGGGUAACCUGCCCAUAAGACUGAGAUAACUCCGGGAAACCGGGGCUAAUACCGGAUAACAUUUUGAACCGCAUGGUUCGAAAUUGAAAGGCGGCUUCGGCUGUCACUUAUGGAUGGACCCGCGACGCAUUAGCUAGUUGGUGAGGUAACGGCUCACCAAGGCAACGAUGCGUAGCCGACCUGGUAGUGUGAUCGGCCAAACUGGGACUGAGACCCGGCCCAGACUCCUACGGGAGGCAGCAGUAGGGAAUCUUCCGCAAUGGACGAAGGUCUGACGGAGCAACGCCGCGUGAGUGAUGAAGGCUUUCGGGUCGUAAAACUCUGUUGUUAGGGAAGAACAAGUGCUAGUUGAAUAAGCUGGCACCUUGACGGUACCUAACCAGAAAGCCACGGCUAACUACGUGCCAGCCGCCGCAGUAA
rnacentral:rRNA from 1 species